rnacentral:rRNA from 1 species
AUUGAACGCUGGCGGCAUGCUUUACACAUGCAAGUCGAACGGCAGCACGAGUGCUUGCACUUGGUGGCGAGUGGCGAACGGGUGAGUAAUGCAUCGGAACGUACCGUGUAGUGGGGGAUAACGUAGCGAAAGUUACGCUAAUACCGCAUACGCCCCGAGGGGGAAAUGGGGGACCGCAAGGCCUCACGCUAUAUGAGCGGCCGAUGUCGGAUUAGCUAGUUGGUAGGGUAAAGGCCUACCAAGGCGACGAUCCGUAGCGGGUCUGAGAGGAUGAUCAGCCACACUGGGACUGAGACACGGCCCAGACUCCUACGGGAGGCAGCAGUGGGGAAUAUUGGACAAUGGGCGAAAGCCUGAUCCAGCCAUGCCGCGUGAGUGAUGAAGGCCUUAGGGUUGUAAAGCUCUUUCAGUAGGGAAGAGUAAAUGACGGUACCUACAGAAGAAGCCCCGGCUAACUUCGUGCCAGCAGCCGCGGUAAA